UAAAGAACCUACCUUAUAGACAGGGACAACUAUUGGAAACGAUAGCUAAUACCUGAUAAGAAAGAAACUCGCAUGAGAGAAGUUCGAAAGUGGAGCAAUCUGACACUAUAAGAUGGCUUUGCGGUGCAUUAGCUAGUUGGUAGGGUAAAAGCCUACCAAGGCGACGAUGCAUAGCCGACCUGAGAGGGUGAUCGGCCACAUUGGGACUGAGACACGGCCCAGACUCCUACGGGAGGCAGCAGCC
rnacentral:rRNA from 1 species